GACUUGAGUUCAGACCUGUGCUCAUCCGAUCCCUGGAGUACUAUUAUUUGGAAACACAUUUCUAAUGAUAGCCAUCCUAGAUGUCGUGUGUUAUUUGCCCAAGUAUCAUAUGUAAGAUUUCUUUGUUCCCAGCAUCAAACUGCCUUUUGACUGAGCUGUCCAAUAGUGGGUGUGAGCCACAAAUAUGUAUCCCAGAUUUGAUAUACACCAUCCUCAGUAUAGCGAUAAGGAGGGU